rnacentral:rRNA from 1 species
CAAAGGAGAGAUCCGGUACCGGCUGGGCAUGCGGCGCAUUAGCUAGUUGGCGGGGCAACGGCCCACCAAGGCGACGAUGCGUAGGGGUUCUGAGAGGAAGGUCCCCCACACUGGAACUGAGACACGGUCCAGACUCCUACGGGAGGCAGCAGUGAGGAAUAUUGGUCAAUGGGCGCAAGCCUGAACCAGCCAAGUCGCGUGAGGGAAGACGGCCCUACGGGUUGUAAACCUCUUUUGCCGGGGAGCAAGCCUGAGCACGUGUGCCCAGGCGGAGAGUACCCGGAGAAAAAGCAUCGGCUAACUCCGUGCCAGCAGCCGCGGUAAUACGGAGGAUGCGAGCGUUAUCCGGAUUUAUUGGGUUUAAAGGGUGCGCAGGCGGGCUGUUAAGCCGGCGGUAAAAAUUCAGGGCUCAACCCUGUCGAGCCGUCGGAACUGGCAGUCUUGAGUGGGCGAGAAGUAUGCGGAAUGCGUGGUGUAGCGGUGAAAUGCAUAGAUAUCACGCAGAACGCCGAUUGCGAAGGCAGCAUACCGGCGCCCAACUGACGCUGAGGCACGAAAGCGUGGGGAUCGAACAGGAUUAGAUACCCUGGUAGUCCACGCAGUAAACGAUGAGCGCUAACUGUCCGGAGCGAGCGAGCUCUGG